rnacentral:rRNA from 1 species
UACGUAGGGUCCGAGCGUUGUCCGGAAUUACUGGGCGUAAAGAGCUCGUAGGUGGUUGUCGCGUUGUUCGUGAAAACUCACAGCUCAACUGUGGGCGUGCGGGCGAUACGGGCAGACUAGAGUACUGCAGGGGAGACUGGAAUUCCUGGUGUAGCGGUGGAAUGCGCAGAUAUCAGGAGGAACGCCGGUGGCGAAGGCGGGUCUCUGGGCAGUAACUGACGCUGAGGAGCGAAAGCGUGGGGGAGCGAACAGG